UAUCAAUAAGCGGAGGAAAAGAAACCAACAGGGAUUGCCCCAGUAACGGCGAGUGAAGCGGCAACAGCUCAAAUUUGAAAUCUGGCCUCCGGGUCCGAGUUGUAAUUUGUAGAGGAUGCUUUUGGCGAGGUGCCUUCCGAGUUCCCUGGAACGGGACGCCAUAGAGGGUGAGAGCCCCGUCUGGUCGGACACCGAGCCUCUGUAAAGCUCCUUCGACGAGUCGAGUAGUUUGGGAAUGCUGCUCAAAAUGGGAGGUAUAUGUCUUCUAAAGCUAAAUAUUGGCCAGAGACCGAUAGCGCACAAGUAGAGUGAUCGAAAGAUGAAAAGCACUUUGAAAAGAGGGUUAAAAAGUACGUGAAAUUGUUGAAAGGGAAGCGCCUAUGACCAGACUUGGGCCCGGUGAAUCAUCCAGCGUUCUCGCUGGUGCACUUUGCCGGGCACAGGCCAGCAUCAGUUUGGCGCGGGGGAAAAAGGUUUUGGGAAUGUGGCUCCCUCGGGAGUGUUAUAGCCCAUUGCGUAAUACCCUGCGCCGGACUGAGGUACGCGCAUCGCAAGGAUGCUGGCGUAAUGGUCAUCAGCGACCCGUCUUGAAACACGGACCAAGGAGUCGUCUUCGUAUGCGAGUGUUCGGGUGUCAAACCCCUACGCGUAAUGAAAGUGAACGCAGGUGAGAGCUUCGGCGCAUCAUCGACCGAUCCUGAUGUUCUCGGAUGGAUUUGAGUAAGAGCAUACGGGGCCGGACCCGAAAGAAGGUGAACUAUGCCUGUAUAGGGUGAAGCCAGAGGAAACUCUGGUGGAGGCUCGCAGCGGUUCUGACGUGCGAAUCGAUCGUCAAAUAUGGGCAUGGGGGCGAAAGACUAAUCGAACCUUCUAGUAGCUGGUUUC
rnacentral:rRNA from 1 species